CCCCCCUCGCAAGGCAUGUGAUGCAGGUG
rnacentral:piRNA from 1 species